CAAGUACGGGAUUGAAGAGCACGGCAAG
rnacentral:piRNA from 1 species